UACGAAGGGGACUAGCGUUGUUCGGAUUUACUGGGCGUAAAGCGCGCGUAGGCGGAUCGCUAAGUCAGGGGUGAAAUCCCAGGGCUCAACCCUGGAACUGCCUUUGAUACUGACGGUCUGGAGAUCGGGAGAGGUUGGUGGAAUUCCGAGUGUAGAGGUGAAAUUCGUAGAUAUUCGCAAGAACACCAGUGGCGAAGGCGGCUCACUGGCCCGAUACUGACGCUGAGGCACGAAAGCGUGGGGAGCAAACAGG
rnacentral:rRNA from 1 species